CGCACGGGUGAGUAACGCGUAUGCGACCUGCCCGUUGCAGGGGGAUAAUCGGGAGAAAUCCCGUCUAAUACCGCGUAACGCCGCGGGGCUGCAUGGCCCUGCGGCCAAAGGGAGCGAUUCCGGCAACGGAUGGGCAUGCGUGACAUUAGCUAGUUGGCGGGGCAACGGCCCACCAAGGCGACGAUGUCUAGGGGUACUGAGAGGAAGGUCCCCCACACUGGUACUGAGACACGGACCAGACUCCUACGGAAGGCAGCAG
rnacentral:rRNA from 1 species